CACAACGGGAAGUAUUGACUUCCUUUCAUGCAAUGAGAUGGCGAUGAUCACAUUUCUUUUUCAUUUGUUUCUUGUGUACGCACUACAAGGUUCUUCUGCAGUGACUGAUGUGCCUGUGAAGACUGGAAAUGAUGUAACUCUUACUCUCACAUCUGAAAUUCCAGCAGAUUUUAAUCUCUGGCUAUGGCAGUUUGCAGGACAUGCAGUGGUUGAGUUUUCACCUGGUUCCCAACCAAAAAUUGAAAAGAAUUACACUGGAAGAAUUGAAGUUCUUGACAAAACUCACAGUCUGAAAUUAAAAAAACUGCAGAAGUCAGACAGUGGUAUCUACACUGCAAAGGUCAUACUGCCUACAGAAAAAAUACUAGCUGCAUACAAAGUUGAAGUUCAAGCCACCAGUUCAGCACCCACAGGUGUAUUAACUGCAGCAGCAACUGUUUUACAGGGUUUAAUUACCUGUGUACUGCUUAGACACUGAGUCCACAGCAAAAUCCAUAUGAAUGUCCUGCAGAUCUUUCUCCAAUGUCAGCGUAUGCUAUGGUGCUGUUUCCUAAUACUCCUGUGCAAUACAAUAACUUGCCUGAAUCAACAGAUGCCAGAAAGAUUUUUAUAUAUAUUUUAAAGGUUUUCUUGGCUCUAGUGACCUUCAUUUGAAAGUAGUUUGGCAGAAAAGAGAGAGGGGGGGAAGACAUGCGGUAAAUGCUUGUUUUUAUAUUUUGUAAAACCUAACUGUGAUUUAAGUUAUGCAGCGCUUUGCAACGUUCAUACAUUUAUAAUUAUAAAUAAACUUUGCUUACUUAAAAGCUCAAUAGUA